rnacentral:rRNA from 1 species
GACGAACGCUGGAGGCGUGCUUAACACAUGCAAGUCGAACGAUGAAAUGGAGCUUGCUCCAUGGAUUAGUGGCGAACGGGUGAGUAACACGUGAAUAACCUGCCCUUAAUUUUGGAAUAACCCAGGGAAACCUGGGCUAAUACCGGAUAAGUAAACCUGUGGCAUCACAUGGUUUUGGAACGUUUUUCGAUUAAGGAUGGAUUCGCGGCCUAUCAGCUUGUUGGUGAGGUAAUGGCUCACCAAGGCGACGACGGGUAGCCGGCCUGAGAGGGUGAACGGCCACACUGGGACUGAGACACGGCCCAGACUCCGACGGGAGGCAGCAGAGGGGAAUAUUGCGCAAUGGACGAAAGUCUGACGCAGCGACGCCUCGUGAGGGACGAAGGUCUUCGGAUUGUAAACCUCUUUCAGCAGGGACGAAGCGAAAGUGACGGUACCUGCAGAAGAAGCACUGGCUAACUAUGUGCCAGCCGCCGCCGUAA